rnacentral:rRNA from 1 species
GAUGAACGCUGGCGGCGUGCCUAAUACAUGCAAGUCGAGCGAACAGACGAGGAGCUUGCUCCUUCGACGUUAGCGGCGGACGGGCGAGUAACACGUAGGUAACCUACCUAUAAGACUGGGAUAACUUCGGGAAACCGGAGCUAAUACCGGAUAAUAUUUCGAACCGCAUGGUUCGAUAGUGGAAGAUGGCUUUGCUAUCACUUAUAGAUGGACCUGCGCCGUAUUAGCUAGUUGGUAAGGUAACGGCUUACCAAGGCAACGAUACGUAGCCGACCUGAGAGGGUGAUCGGCCACACUGGAACUGAGACACGGUCCAGACUCCUACGGGAGGCAGCAGUAGGGAAUCUUCCGCAAUGGGCGAAAGCCUGACGGAGCAACGCCGCGUGAGUGAUGAAGGUCUUCGGAUCGUAAAACUCUGUUAUUAGGGAAGAACAAACGUGUAAGUAACUGUGCACGUCUUGACGGUACCUAAUCAGAAAGCCACGGCUAACUACGUG